CAGAAGCUGCAAUGCUCGAUACGCGAUGAUGUUUCAACCGAUGCAUUAGAAUAGGGAGUUUUACAUCUGAAAGUGGACAUCAUGCCUCCUAGAGGAAGAUGAAAAUUUUCGUGCGAACACCCACCUGUGAGUAGCAGGUUUUGAAACACGUGCGUGCCGACAUCCGCGGCCGAUAC
rnacentral:other from 1 species